rnacentral:rRNA from 1 species
AUUGAACGCUGGCGGCAGGCCUAACACAUGCAAGUCGAGCGAGCGCCGGACGCGUGAGAAAUGUAUGUGGACUGUCCGAUAUAGGGGGAUAACUCUUGGAAACGGUGUCUAAUACCCCAUACUAUCGGAUAACCCAUAUGUGAUUAGCUAGUAGGUGAGGUAAUGGUUCACCUAGGCGACGAUCCCUAGCUGGUCUGAGAGGAUGAUCAGCCACACUGGGACUGAGACACGGCCCAGACUCCUACGGAGGCAGCAGUGGGGAAUAUUGCACAAUGGGCGCAAGCCUGAUGCAGCCAUGCCGCGGGUAUGAAGAAGGCCCUAGGGUUGUAAAGUACUUUCAGUCGGGAGGCGUUACCGACAGAAGAAGCACCGGCUAACUCCGUGCCAGCAGCCGCGGUAAUUC